UUGCUGUUUUGGGUUGCUCGCCCGGUAAUCCCAACUCCCAUGCCCUGCCUUCAACUUCUAAUCCCCUAAAAUAUCUGUGUAAAGCAGGUGAAGAUUUGGAAUGCUGGAAAGAAUCAAGACUUGGUGGAAACAAGAUAAGAGAGAAUGUGUGCGUUGCGUCGUUGCUUCCAGUUGAUAUUUGCGUUUUCUUUCUUUCACUGCAUUACCGAAUACACUGCUUCUAAGCUAAUUCUCUUUGGGUUCUACAUCUUGCUUGCCUUCGUCGGGGCUACCAUUGAGUUUCUUUAUCUACUUGUGCCCCUUUUAUUUUGUUUUGGUGCUUGAAAGGUUUCAAAUGAUGCUGAAUUUUAUGGAAAAGUUCAUAUUUUUACAUGGAAUGAAUGGGUUUUGAACUUUUAGGUGGAAAUUGUCGGAUUGGGUGCGCAAAUUAAUUAGGGUGGGACAGUAAGGACUCAUGUAGUUGAUCCAAUUAGCUAAGAUUAAGACUUGGUUGAGUUCAUUUGAGUUACCACUGUGAAAACUUGUUCAUUUGCAUGCAUUGUGAAUAAGAAAACUGAAAUGACAAUCUGAAGCAGCAAGGAGACUUUAUGACUUAUGAGAGGGCUCCAUCCUUUGCUAUUUCAGUUUGACUUUUUUUUUUUCUCUAAUUUCUGUUAUCUUUUAUUUUUUCGCUCAUUGUACCUGAUAUUAAGCUAGUCCUACACCUAUCAGAAUCACGGUUAAAGCAACAUGUUAUUAUGUCAUUGUAUCACAAAAGAUGAUUCUUUUGGUUGGUCUUCAUCUCCUGUAUCUUUGGUAUUUAUGUGCCUGAGCCCUGAAUUACCCUGUUCCAUUUAACAUUUCAAGGUCUAACAGAUUGUAGAUCAAGCCCAAAAACUCCUAAGAAGCACCAUGAACAAGCAUUGCUCAUUUUUUGGUACUGCUGGGAGCAUGAAUUAUGGCUGCCAAUGUAGAUGGUUGGGUAAAAAAAUACUGUAUAUCCCUUGUUUCCCCUUGGUUCAAGGGAAGUAGUGGGUAUUUUUGUUGGUUUUGAGUGAAUUUUCAUAUCUACUGAGGCUUCUGGCUUUAAGGAGCGAUCAGUCUUCUGUCAAAUAAUAUUCACUACUCUCUUGUUCUAAAUUGAUCCCUCCAUUUUUGUUGUUGUUCUUGACUGUUUAUUUUUAGACUACCAUGAAGUCGGCAAGAGUUAGUUUUAAUCUUUUCAUCAGUUAGUGAGAGAAGGCAGGCAGGAAAUAUCAUUAACCAAAAGAACAAGUGGCAUGCUGCAAUAUGAUUGGAUUGUAACUGUAGAAUUAAUUUAAUAUUUUGUCAUACGAUUUUAAAACACCCUUUCUUUCUGCAUUAAAUUUUCUUUUGGCCAGCAAAACAAUUCUUAUGUAUUUCCCUGUAUUUGUUGGAUGCUUUUUGCUGCCUACAGCUUUGUUGUGCUUUACUGACUUUGUUCCUGAUGGUCCUCAGUCCCAGCCGGAAUUUAUGGUAACUCCUGUUGAGCUAGAUUUACUUUGAAUACUAACUAUUACCUACAAUUCUAUUGAGACUCAAAAUUUAUUGGCUUGGGGCAGCUAAGUGCAUUAUUGUACUUCCUUGUCUAAUGUACAUUCGUUACAUGGGGGGGCUGUGGUCACUUCUCACUCUAAUCAACUUAUUCAUUGUCUUGUGACUAGACAAGCUCUCAGGAAUGAUAGAAGAGGUGCCCAAAAAGGAACAUCAGAUCUUGUUCCAGGCUUCCAGCAAUCAAAGAGGAAGAGAAGUCUUCAAUCUAGCGUCUUACUGGAGUUAUGAGAAAAAUCCUGGUGUGUCAAAUGGAAAGUUUGGAUCCAACUCCAGUGACUGAAGAGAGAAUUCUGGCUCCACAACUGGAGAAUUGGCAGCGGAAGUAUUGGCGGAAAUUAUCUCAGUGAAAUUGGAUUCAGAACAGUACUGCAAAUUUUGAACCCCUACAAAAUUGUUCGUCUGGAAUGGUGAAACAGAGCAGUAGUUUGAUUCAGGGGUGGCUGGAGAUAUAGAAGAUUGAGAACAAGUGCCUGAAGUUUUCAUGCUUCCAUAUGUAGGAGGAAAAGAGAAAGGAAAUGCCAUCUCUUUAUUGUCCAAGUCCUCAGUAUUAACCUUCAGGACCCUUUGAAAGUUAAAGAGAGCAUCUUGUGAUUGCUGCUGUUGAUUAAUGUUUUGUUUCUGUUCUUGUUUUUCUGGUGAUGCUGGUGGUGCAACUGAUUGUCGGCCAUGACAACAAGUGUGUAGUCCCCUGUAAGUGACAUCAAAUAUGGUGUGAUCAUCAUCUGAUCUUUGCACUUGCUUUGUAGCCCAGCAGUUCUGGGUAUUUCUGUAGGUGCAUCUGUAAUAGCUUCUGCAAGUAUAACAGUUCUUGUUAGAUUCCAGAUGGUAUAUAUAUGGCAAUAAAAGUUAUCUCUUGAAAAAA